rnacentral:rRNA from 1 species
UACGUAGGGGGCAAGCGUUGUCCGGAAUCAUUGGGCGUAAAGCGCGUGUAGGCGGCCCGGUAAGUCCGCUGUGAAAGUCGGGGGCUCAACCCUCGAAUGCCGGUGGAUACUGUCGGGCUAGAGUGCGGAAGAGGCGAGUGGAAUUCCUGGUGUAGCGGUGAAAUGCGCAGAUAUCAGGAGGAACACCAAUUGCGAAGGCAGCUCGCUGGGACGUGACUGAUGCUGAGGCGCGAAAGCGUGGGGAGCAAACAGG